UACGUAGGGGGCAAGCGUUGUCCGGAAUCAUUGGGCGUAAAGCGUGUGUAGGCGGGCCGUUAAGUGCCCCGUGAAAUCCCCCGGCUCAACCGGGGAACGGCGGGGCAUACUGGCGGCCUUGAGGCACCCAGGGGCGAGCGGAACAGGCGGUGGAGCGGUGAAAUGCGUAGAUAUCGCUUGGAACGCCGACGGUGAAAACAGCUCGCUGGGGGUGUGCUGACGCUGAGACACGAAAGCCAGGGGAGCGAACGGG
rnacentral:rRNA from 1 species